rnacentral:rRNA from 1 species
CCCUUAGAUGUUCUGGGCUGCACGCGUGCUACACUGAUAUUGCCAAUAUGUCAUUCUUAUCCGCCAUGGAUUGGGUAAUCAAGUAAUGCCAUUUCAUGCUUGGAAUCGGUAAUUGCAAUUUUAUCGUGAACGAGGAAUUCCUAGUAAGCACUAGUCAUCAGCUAAUGUUGAUUAUGUCCCUGCCCUUUGUACACACCGCCCGUCGCUACUACUGAUUGGGUGUGCAAGUGAGAUGCUUAGACCCUUGUUGCAUGGUUCAUUAUUGUGCUCCGAAAGGAAAAAGUUUCAAGCUUGAGUGUCUAGAGGAAGUAAAAGUCGUAACA